rnacentral:rRNA from 1 species
CCUACGGGUGGCUGCAGUGGGGGAUAUUGCACAAUGGGGGAAACCCUGAUGCAGCGACGCCGCGUGUGGGAAGACGGUCUUCUGGAUUGUAAACCACUGUCCCCAGGGACGAAAAUGACGGUACCUGGGGAGGAAGCUCCGGCUAACUACGUGCCAGAAGCCGCGGUAAUACGUAGGGAGCAAGCGUUGUCCGGAAUUACUGGGUGUAAAGGGAGCGUAGGCGGGGAUGCAAGUUGGGGGUAAAAACUACCGGCUCAACCGAGAGUCGCACUCAAAACUGCAACUCUUGAGUGAAGUAGAGGCAGGCGGAAUGCCUGGUGUAGCGGUGAAAUGCGUAGAUAUUAGGAGGAACACCAGUGGCGAAGGCAGCCUGCUGGGCUUUUACUGACGCUGAGGCUCGAAAGUGUGGGGAGCAAACAGGAUUAGAUACCCGGGUAGUC